UCGAGGAUCUUCGGCAAUGGGCGCAAGCCUGACCGAGCGACGCCGCGUGUGCGAUGAAGGCCUUCGGGUUGUAAAGCACUGUCGAGGGGGAGGAAGGCGCAAGCUUGACCUAUCCCUGGAGGAAGCACGGGCUAAGUUCGUGCCAGCAGCCGCGGUAAGACGAACCGUGCGAACGUUGUUCGGAAUCACUGGGCUUAAAGGGCGCGUAGGCGGCUACGUAAGUCUUGGGUGAAAUCUUUCGGCUCAACCGGAAACGUGCCUGGGAUACUGCGUAGCUGGAGGGAGAUAGGGGCGGACGGAACUUCCGGUGGAGCGGUGAAAUGCGUUGAUAUCGGAAGGAACGCCGGUGGCGAAAGCGGUCCGCUGGAUCUCUACUGACGCUGAGGCGCGAAAGCCAGGGGAGCAAACGGGAUUAGAUACCCCCGUAGUCC
rnacentral:rRNA from 1 species